UUUGCUUGCCCAGUUCCAGUGCCCAUGUAUUCUGGUUCUGUCUCUGGAAGCUCCUGUGGCAGCUCUCCAUCUUGUCGUUUUGCUUCUCCACCAAUGAUAUGCCAAUGGGGACUGCUGGCAGACGUGCUUCAAAUGAAUUCUUGGUGUGUGGAGGGCAGUGUCAGCCUACUGUGUCACCUCACAGCGAAACAGCACCAAUUCCAGUUCCUACUCAAAUAAGGAAUUAUCAGCGCAUAGAGCAGAAUCUUACAUCUACUGCCAGCUCAGGCACAAAUGUACAUGGUUCUCCAAGAUCUGCAGUGGUACGAAGGUCCAACACCAGCCCCAUGGGCUUCCUCCGGCCGGGAUCAUGCUCCCCAGUACCAGCAGACACAGCACAGACAGUUGGACGAAGGCUCUCCACUGGGUCUUCUAGGCCUUACUCACCUUCCCCUUUGGUUGGUACCAUUCCUGAGCAAUUCAGUCAGUGCUGCUGUGGGCAUCCUCAGGGCCAUGACUCCAGGAGUAGAAACUCCUCAGGUUCUCCAGUCCCACAAGCUCAGUCCCCACAGUCUCUCUUAUCGGGUGCUAGACUGCAGAGCGCCCCCACCCUCACUGACAUCUAUCAGAACAAGCAGAAGCUCAGAA
rnacentral:sRNA from 1 species